GACGAACGCUGGCGGCGUGCCUAAUACAUGUAAGUCGAACGAACUCUGGUAUUGAUUGGUGCUUGCAUCAUGAUUUACAUUUGAGUGAGUGGCGAACUGGUGAGUAACACGUGGGAAACCUGCCCAGAAGCGGGGGAUAACACCUGGAAACAGAUGCUAAUACCGCAUAACAACUUGGACCGCAUGGUCCGAGUUUGAAAGAUGGCUUCGGCUAUCACUUUUGGAUGGUCCCGCGGCGUAUUAGCUAGAUGGUGGGGUAACGGCUCACCAUGGCAAUGAUACGUAGCCGACCUGAGAGGGUAAUCGGCCACAUUGGGACUGAGACACGGCCCAAACUCCUACGGGAGGCAGCAGUAGGGAAUCUUCCACAAUGGACGAAAGUCUGAUGGAGCAACGCCGCGUGAGUGAAGAAGGGUUUCGGCUCGUAAAACUCUGUUGUUAAAGAAGAACAUAUCUGAGAGUAACUGUUCAGCUAUUGACGGUAUUUAACCAGAAAGCCACGGCUAACUACGUGCCAGCAGCCGCGGUAAUACGUAGGUGGCAAGCGUUGUCCGGAUUUAUUGGGCGUAAAGCGAGCGCAGGCGGUUUUUUAAGUCUGAUGUGAAAGCCUUCGGCUCAACCGAAGAAGUGCAUCGGAAACUGGGAAACUUGAGUGCAGAAGAGGACAGUGGAACUCCAUGUGUAGCGGUGAAAUGCGUAGAUAUAUGGAAGAACACCAGUGGCGAAGGCGGCUGUCUGGUCUGUAACUGACGCUGAGGCUCGAAAGUAUGGGUAGCAAACAGGAUUAGAUACCCUGGUAGUCCAUACCGUAAACGAUGAAUGCUAAGUGUUGGAGGGUUUCCGCCCUUCAGUGCUGCAGCUAACGCAUUAAGCAUUCCGCCUGGGGAGUACGGCCGCAAGGCUGAAACUCAAAGGAAUUGACGGGGGCCCGCACAAGCGGUGGAGCAUGUGGUUUAAUUCGAAGCUACGCGAAGAACCUUACCAGGUCUUGACAUACUAUGCAAAUCUAAGAGAUUAGACGUUCCCUUCGGGGACAUGGAUACAGGUGGUGCAUGGUUGUCGUCAGCUCGUGUCGUGAGAUGUUGGGUUAAGUCCCGCAACGAGCGCAACCCUUAUUAUCAGUUGCCAGCAUUAAGUUGGGCACUCUGGUGAGACUGCCGGUGACAAACCGGAGGAAGGUGGGGAUGACGUCAAAUCAUCAUGCCCCUUAUGACCUGGGCUACACACGUGCUACAAUGGAUGGUACAACGAGUUGCGAACUCGCGAGAGUAAGCUAAUCUCUUAAAGCCAUUCUCAGUUCGGAUUGUAGGCUGCAACUCGCCUACAUGAAGUCGGAAUCGCUAGUAAUCGCGGAUCAGCAUGCCGCGGUGAAUACGUUCCCGGGCCUUGUACACACCGCCCGUCACACCAUGAGAGUUUGUAACACCCAAAGUCGGUGGGGUAACCUUUUAGGAACCAGCCGCCUAAGGUGGGACAGAUGAUUAGGGUG
rnacentral:rRNA from 2 species